rnacentral:rRNA from 1 species
CGUGAGUGAAGAAGGCCUUUGGGUCGUAAAGCUCUGUCAAUCGGGAAGAAGUUAUUGUCAUCCAAUAGGUGAUAGUAUUGACGGUACCGAUGAAGGAAGCACCGGCUAACUCCGUGCCAGCAGCCGCGGUAAUACGGGGGGUGCAAGCGUUAUUCGGAAUUAUUGGGCGUAAAGGGCGCGUAGGCGGUUUUGUCGGUCAGAUGUGAAAGCCCGGGGCUCAACCCUGGAAGUGCAUUUGAAACAGCAAGACUUGAGUACGGGAGAGGAAAGCGGAAUUCCUGGUGUAGAGGUGAAAUUCGUAGAUAUCAGGAGGAACACCGAUGGCGAAGGCAGCUUUCUGGACCGAUACUGACGCUGAGGCGCGAAGGCGUGGGUAGCGAACGGGAUUAGAUACCCCGGUAGUCCACGCAGUAAACGAUGUUCACUAGGUGUAGCGGGUAUUAAAAUCUGCUGCGCCCAAGCUAACGCAUUAA